AUGCCGCGGUACAAGCAAUUACAAUUCGUGGACUGUUGCAAUGGCCUAGUCCUUUGUCAGUACUGGAACGACUAUAAAACUACCUCUUCAAAUACUUGCCGCCUCAUUGUGUGCAACCCGUCAACACGAAAGUGGAAGAGGCUUCCUGCUCCUCCCACUCACGAUCACCCAUCUGUUCACCCAAAUGACUCCUGCUUUUGCUAUACAACUUUCUUGGCCUACGAUCCAUCUUGGUCGGCACAGUUCUAUGUCUUCAGAUUUCAGCAGAAGUUCGAUAGAAGUCGGUCACUAGGUAUCCGCCAACUUGAGGUGUUCUCGCCUAGCCUAUCCACCUGGUUUGUGGAUGAUUCACAAGGUUGGGAUCGUGAUGCAUGGGGUUGGAAUUCCGUCAUACUCGCUGGUAAAUCACACUAUUUUAUGAGUGGGGUGUUAUAUUUGCAGACCAAGAGUCAUAAUAUUCUUGUGGUUGAAGGCUUGGAAGCAAUGAGUCAUCGCAUGCCAUUGCCACCCUAUCAUUUUACUAUCAUGCUACCACAUCACCACCGCGGUCUCAAGGUUGGAUGCUUUGGCCAAUCAUCGGGGCUCUUGCAGUGUGCAUUCCAAGAGGAGGGCGGCCGUACAAUUACAGUUUUCAGUCUUGAUUCUUAUCGGCCUUGCAAGUGGUCUCUGAAGCAUCGUCUUUGUAUGUGA
rnacentral:rRNA from 1 species